CACAAACCAUGAGAUCAUGGCCUCAGCCAAAGUCAGACGUUCAGCUGACUGAGCCACCCAGGCGCCCCAUGAAAUAUUUGUUCUUUUGAUGGAAUCUUGUAGAUCAUGUAGGUUUUCUUUGCUCUUUCUCAUUCUUUUUCUUUGUUCUCCUCUAUUUGGGUUAUUUCAAAAUUCUUAUCUUCUAACUCACUAAUUCUCUCUUCCAUUUACUCUACUCUUUGAAGAUACUCUGUAUUGUAUAUUUUUAUUUCACUAAUUGAGUUCUUCAGCUCCAGAAUCUCUGUUUGGUUCUUUUUUUAUGAUUUCUAUAUCUUCAGAAAAAAAAUCCCAUUUGGUGAUGUACUGUUUCAAGAUUUCAUUGAAUUAUCAUUCUGAGUUUUCUUGUAGCUCAUUGAGUUUCUUCAAAAAUAGAUAUUUUGAAUUCUUUAUAAGCUAGAUCAUAAAACUCUGUGGCUUCAAGCUCAGCUUUGGAGAACUGUUAUUUUCUUUUUGUGAUGGUAUAUUUCAUUGAUUUUUCAUGUAUCUUACAGUUUUUCUACUUCAAAUGCAAAAGAAUUAUAGAAGGCGGCUCCUUGAAUCUUUGCUAGUUACCUUCUGACAGGGCAUUCUAUUCCAUGCUGUUAUUAUCUGGGGUUUUAUAUUUGUAUGGGUACACCUGCCCCACUCCUCUUGCCUCCUGUUGUAGCAGGAUUCUUAAACUUUUAUGUCUCUCUGGUUUUCACAAGUCACCAGGCUGGUUACUGGAAUCCUCUUUGCUUUCCAGCAGGUGGCACUAUAGCUCAAAGUUGUGGUUUCUCCCUUACCUGUUUUCUGAGCAUGCUCUUUGUCUACCAAAACUCUCACUGCCACAUAUGGGAGCAGGCACAAGGAGUUAGCCACAGAGUAGGGGAAGGCGUGGGUUUAGCAUUUGAGGUGUUGGAGUAUCCACAGGCCCCACUGACCCCACUGGGAGAUCCACUGGCAUGGUACUACCAGAGGCUCGUAGGUGGGCUUUCUGCCCAGCAUAGUCAGUGGGAACCAUGUCUUAUCUGCCUCAUUUCCAGUCAGCACCCCCCACCCACCACCUGAGUUCCUGCUUCAGUCAGUAUUCUGGGUGUUGCUGGAGAGAAGUGGGUUUCUCUAGCCAUGACCAGCACAACUGGGGUCACCAGGCACUUACAACUAUCCUUUUCCCUUGUAGGAGAGGUCACCACCACCCAAUAAAUCAAUCCUGGGCAGGGUUGCCUUGGGGUGAGGGAGUGAGGGGGUGAGAGGGUCUGGUAAACUUUCUUUUAUCAACACUUUGCUGUGAUGAAACUCAUAUUGUUUCGCAGUACCUUUGGAUGGCUGGAUUUCUGCCAAUUCUCUCUCUUGCCCAGCCAUUGCUAUGAUAAAUAUCAAGUACCUCAUGAGAAUCAAUGUGCAACAGGAAAUGAGAGUGGCUACGUCCAAUCUGAUUCCCAGGUGUAAGAAGAUAUGCAGUGCCCAUUACUGAAGGCUGAUGGGACCUUGGAGCACGCACUGGGGGCUUGGAGUGUCAGCUUACCUAAGGUUCCACCUGCCACUGCCUCUCCUGUCCUCUCCGGUCCCUUCUUCCAGCCUCUUCUUCUCCCUCUGCAGGGGUGACUGCUGCAGUCCCCACCCUGGUGACCAGGUCGUGGAGGGGGGUGGAUUUGGAGGGAAGAGAAGCCCCCUUUUGACCCUUGGUCUCCACACGGAGCAAGCACAGGGAGGGGGAAGAGGAGGUUGACUUGCCCCAUUGUCAUUUUGUCUUUGGCCCCUGUGUGGGAGGUUCCCGGGACUCAACCACCGUCUUGUCUUCCUUACCACGUUAUUCCUAAUGUAGUAUCUUCAGUGGUCAGAGGGGUCUCGUCUGAAUGCUGUCCUCUGACUGGUGGCUGCCACCUCUCCCUGUCUGUCCCAGCAGUGAUGGGGCUGUCUGUUCACUCGUUCUCUAUUCCUCCAACCCUACAGCCCUGCAGAGAAGUCAUUCAUUUCAAGUAUUAGUAUCUUGGAGCGGCUCACUCGGUUAAGGUUAAGAGUCAGACUCUUGAUCUGGGCUCAGGUCUGGGCUCUGACAGCACAGAGCCUACUUGGGAUCCUCUCUCUCUCCCUCUCUCUCUGC